rnacentral:rRNA from 1 species
UGCCAAGACCAUACCAUGUUGGAAACACCGGUUCUCGUCUGGUCACCGAAGUUAAGCAACGUUGGGGCCUGUUAGUACUUGCAUGGGUGACCAGCUGGGAAUACCGGGCGUUGCGGCCG